rnacentral:rRNA from 1 species
GAUGAACGCUGGCGGCGUGCCUAAUACAUGCAAGUCGAGCGAACAGACGAGGAGCUUGCUCCUCUGACGUUAGCGGCGGACGGGUGAGUAACACGUGGAUAACCUACCUAUAAGACUGGGAUAACUUCGGGAAACCGGAGCUAAUACCGGAUAAUAUAUUGAACCGCAUGGUUCAAUAGUGAAAGACGGUUUUGCUGUCACUUAUAGAUGGAUCCGCGCCGCAUUAGCUAGUUGGUAAGGUAACGGCUUACCAAGGCAACGAUGCGUAGCCGACCUGAGAGGGGGCACGCCCCCCGGGAACAUGAAACCGGGCCCACACCCCACGGGGGGGCCGCGAUGGGGAAUUUGCCGAAAUGGGCGAAACCCUGCCGGAGAAACCCCGCGUGGGUGAAGAGGGUCUUGGGCUCGUAAAACUUUUUUUUGAGGAAAAAAAAAAUGUGAAAGUAAAUAUCCCCUUCUGACCGUAACCAAACAAAAAAGCCCCGGUUAACUCCGG